CCUACGGGGGGCAGCAGUAGGGAAUAUUGCUCAAUGGGGGAAACCCUGAAGCAGCAACGCCGCGUGGAGGAUGAAGGUUUUCGGAUUGUAAACUCCUUUUGUUAGAGAAGAUAAUGACGGUAUCUAACGAAUAAGCACUGGCUAAUUCCGUGCCAGCAGCCGCGGUAAUACGGAGGGAGCAAGCGUUACUCGGAAUCACUGGGCGUAAGGAGCGCGUAGGCGGGAUAGCAAGUCAGAUGUGAAAUCCUAUGGCUUAACCAUAGAACUGCAUUUGAAACUGUUAUUCUAGAGUAUGGGAGAGGUAGGUGGAAUUCUUGGUGUAGGGGUAAAAUCCGUAGAGAUCAAGAGGAAUACUCAGUGCGAAGGCGACCUGCUAGAACAUAACUGACGCUGAUGCGCGAAAGCGUGGGGAGCAAACAGGAUUAGAUACCCCUGUAGUC
rnacentral:rRNA from 1 species